rnacentral:rRNA from 1 species
UGUCAAAUCAUCAUGCCCCUUAUGUUCUGGGCUACACACGUACUACAAUGGGAAAUACAACGGGAAGCCAAGCAGCGAUGCGGAGCAAAUCCCUAAAAACUUCCCUCAGUUCGGAUUGGAGUCUGCAACUCGGCUCCAUGAAGCUGGAAUUGCUAGUAAUCGCGAAUCAGCAUGUCGCGGUGAAUACGUUCCCGGGCCUU